CCUACGGGAGGCAGCAGUCGAGAAUCAUUCACAAUGGAGGAAACCCUGAUGGUGCGACGCCGCGUGGGGGAAUGAAGGUCUUCGGAUUGUAAACCCCUGUCAUGUGGGAGCAAAUUAAAAAGAUAGUACCACAAGAGCAAGGGACGGCUAACUCUGUGCCAGCAGCCGCGGUAAUACAGAGGUCUCAAGCGUUGUUCGGAAUCACUGGGCGUAAAGCGUGCGUAGGCUGUUUCGUAAGUCGUGUGUGAAAUGGGGGGGAGCAACCCUCGGACGGCAUAGGAUACUGCGAGACUAGAGUAAUGGAGGGGGAACCGGAAUUCUAGGUGUAGCAGUGAAAUGCGUAGAUAUCGAGAGGAACACUCGUGGCGAAGGCGGGUUCCUGGACAUUAACUGACGCUGAGGCACGAAGGCCAGGGGAGCGAAAGGGAUUAGAUACCCUUGUAGUC
rnacentral:rRNA from 1 species